rnacentral:rRNA from 1 species
AAUAAACGCUGGCGGCGUGCCUAACACAUGCAAGUCGAGCGAGAAAGUUCCUUCGGGAGCAAGUAAAGCGGCGGACGGGUGAGUAACGCGUGAGAAUUUACCCUUUAGUGAGGAAUACCUCUGAGAAAUCAGGGCUAAUACUGCAUAAGUCCCUACGGGGAGAAAGGUGGCCUAUUUGCUGCCGCUAAAGGAUAAGCUUGCGGGCUAUUAGCUAGUUGGUGAGGUAAAGGCUCACCAAGGCGAUGAUGGCUAGCCGGCCUGAGAGGGUGUACGGCCACACUGGAACUUAGGACACGGUCCAGACUCCUACGGGAGGCAGCAGUGAGGAAUAUUGCGCAAUGGGCGAAAGCCUGACGCAGCGACGCCGCGUGGAGGAUGAAGGUCUUCGGACUUGUAAACUUCUGUUAAGUGGAAGGAAGAUUUA